ACGAUGCUUGAGUGGUGUCCAGAACGGUCACUGCAACUUCUAGGCUUCUAGAACGGCCUCUCCUGACCCCUGCUGGUAGUGCCCUAAUCAGAUCGUCAGACCCACAGUGUCUACUCAACGAUGGAUAUGACCCUGCAGCACUGGCCAGGGCGGAAGCAGGUCUGGAAGAAGCCAGUGCCCCCUUGCCAUCCCAGUGCUGGAACAGUAAUGUGACAAAAGCAGUGGGUCACAUGGGGAAAGGCUACCUCAUCAGAACUGCCAGGCAUAGGCCACCCACCCUGUCUCAGGCCACUCAGGGUGGGUGGCACAGCCUCUUGUACCUCCAGGGAAACCAGAGUGGUCGCGGGACAGCUCUGUGCAGAGAGAGGACCAGCAUGUCCCUGGUCCCUGGGAGGACCAGCCUGUCCCAGGCUGGAACCCUGUCCCUGGGCUGGUUUCAUCUGGCCCCGAGGAAGCUGCACCCCAGCCUUGCAUCCAGGCAGCGGGCCCACCCUGAGAAGGAGUUACGCCUCAGAGCAGAAGAAAAAGUAGGAUGCUUCACAUUGAGUAACGGGACCCCUGCCAUUCCUGUCGCCUCUCAACUCUGGUUAACGUGGAGCUGUCUGUCUUAAUCCCUGACACCUGUCCUUCGAACACAAGGGCACGGCCUUGAACACGGAUGCUUUUUCAGACGUCACAGACACGGACAGCGGCAGGGAGAGGAGGCAUCUGCCAUGCCCCCAGCGCAGGUCCACAAGUCCAUUUUCCUGGGGUCCAUGGAUUUAUCCAGAAGACAGCUGCUGCUCCGAUUUACAGGCCUUGAAACACUUCCCCGGACUUCUCUCCCGUGUGUCCCCUGCCAAGGCUCCCAGCGGAACUUGGAGAUGGCUCUGGCUGCCGUCACACAAGAGUCCUUCUGGCCAGGUAACUGCCUGCUUGCCUAGUGCCUUCAGUCCCGGCUUCAUGACGGAGCUGCAGAUUCUUCCAACCGCAGCUCCACGAAGCCAGCCAUCGACUGGGCAGACUCAGCACCCUUCCUGCUCCGACCCUCCCACGACAGCAGCCACACGGCACUUCUGACUCCUAAUGAGCUAGUAGCACCACUGAACCAAGU